rnacentral:rRNA from 1 species
AAUGAACGUUGGCGGCGUGGAUUAGGCAUGCAAGUCGAGCGAAAAGCCCCCUUCGGGGGGCGAAGAGCGGCGGACGGGUGAGUAAUGCCUAGGAAUCUGCCUGGUAGUGGGGGAUAACGUUCGGAAACGGACGCUAAUACCGCAUACGUCCUACGGGAGAAAGCAGGGGACCUUCGGGCCUUGCGCUAUCAGAUGAGCCUAGGUCGGAUUAGCUAGUUGGUGAGGUAAUGGCUCACCAAGGCGACGAUCAGUAGCUGGUCUGAGAGGAUGAUCAGCCACACUGGGACUGAGACACGGCCCAGACUCCUACGGGUGGCAG